GAAAUGCGAUAAGUAAUGUGAAUUGCAGAAUUCCGUGAAUCAUCGAAUCUUUGAACGCACAUUGCGCCCUCUGGUAUUCCGGGGGGCAUGCCUGUCCGAGCGUCAUUGCACACCCUCAAGCGCGGCUUGUGUGUUGGGCCCCCGCGUCCUUGCCAUUUAAAGGACGGGCCCGAAAGGCAGUGGCGGCGUCGCGGUUAUCCGAUCAGCCAGAGCGUAUGGGGACUCUGUUCACACGUUCGGGGCGCGGUCCGACGCCAGUCCGUUUAACAAUCUUUCUUCCAAGGUUGACCUCGGAUCAGGUAGGGAUACCCGCUGAACUUAAGC
rnacentral:misc_RNA from 1 species